rnacentral:rRNA from 1 species
GAUGAACGCUAGCGGCAGGCUUAAUACAUGCAAGUCGAGGGGCAGCACAGAUAGCAAUAUUGGGUGGCGACCGGCAAACGGGUGCGGAACACGUACACAACCUUCCUUUUAGUGUGGGAUAGCCCAGAGAAAUUUGGAUUAAUACCACAUAGUAUAUUGGAGUGGCAUCACUUUGAUAUUAAAGAUUUAUCGCUAAAAGAUGGGUGUGCGUAUGAUUAGGUAGUUGGUAGAGGUAACGGCUCACCAAGCCUUCGUUCAUUAACUGGUGUGAGAGCACGACCAGUCACACGGGCACUGAGACACGGGCCCGACUCCUACGGGAGGCAGCAGUAAGGAAUAUUAGUCAAUGGACGGAAGUUUGAACCAGCCAUGCCGCGUGAAGGAUGACGGCCCUCUGGGUUGUAAACUUCUUUUAUGUGGGGCGAAAAAGGGCCAUUUUUGGUCAACUGACGGUACCAUAGGAAUAAGCACCGGCUAACUCCGUGCCAGCCGCCGCAGUAA